UACGUAGGGUGCAAGCGUUAAUCGGAAUUACUGGGCGUAAAGCGUGCGCAGGCGGUCUUUGCAAGACAGAUGUGAAAUCCCCCGGGCUUAACCUGGGAACUGCAUUUGUGACUGCAUGGCUGGAGUGCGGCAGAGGGGGGAUGGAAUUCCGCGUGUAGCAGUGAAAUGCGUAGAUAUGCGGAGGAACACCGAUGGCGAAGGCAGUCCCCUGGGCCUGCCACUGACGCUCAUGCACGAAAGCGUGGGGAGCGAAACAAGGAUUGAUGAAACCCGUACGGU
rnacentral:rRNA from 1 species